rfam:Sordaria macrospora k-hell, WGS project CABT02000000 data, contig: 2.32
GGCAAGAUGGCCGAGCGGUCUAAGGCGCCACGUUAAGGUUACCAAAACCCUUAAUCUCCUCUCCAGAGUUCCGUGGUCCGAAAGGGCGUGGGUUCGAAUCCCACUCUUGUCA